UACACAAAAAUUGUUAAUAAAUUAGUGGUUUCAACAUAUGUACGUGGUAUUACAAUAAAAUGUCCUAUCGAUAUUUAAAGAGAGAAUUCAAGACUGGGCUGUGUGGAAAUACUUGGAUCCCUCUCCAAUGCACCCCGAAUCGCGUUAGUCACGGCUAAUGUAAGGAAGCAACAGGGUGGCUGUAGGGCAGCAGAAAAAUCGGAAACCAUCGAGAUUACUACAGAAAUGGAUGAAGUUAAAAAGAUAAGAAAGUCGGAAAUUAUCCCAAGGAUACGUCUGUUAGUUUCCAAUUAAGGAUACUUUCCCAACUGUUUCGCAAAAGGCAAUUUUGAUACUAACUGCUAAUAAGAAAUGGAUGUUCGUGAGAUUACAGAAAUUAGGUAAUAAUGGUUAUCCGAAGAAAAUCAUGUUGAGUUUCUGAAAAAUGGUAUCUAAAUAUGGAGAUCUGAUGAAAAUUGUGAUGAAUUUCUGAAGGAUACCUAGUAUAAAUUUAUUGCACAGAAUAUCGUGUAAUUAAUAAUGCAAUUGGUAAACGGAUGUAAUUAGAUGAUGUUGAUUGUAAAGAUUUUUGACAUGGAAAAAGGAAUAGACAAUGCAGGAUAAUAUUUUUUCGUUUGAGGUUUCAUUUUCCAAGAUGAUUGGGUUUGAACUUUAUAUUUUAUGUAAAAUAUAACA
rnacentral:lncRNA from 1 species